CGUUGUCCCUUCAGGAACAGAAGGUCUUGUGUAGUGAGGGUCUCAGCCUCUCCAUAACCAAUGUCAAGGUCGGAUCUGCCCUUGUGGAUCUGGUGAUGACUGCAAGAGGUCCUUCAGCUGCAACACAGGAAACUUUGAAAAAUAGAGCUUGGUCAUCUAUAAACCUGUAAUUAUAGCACACACCUGGGGCCACAGACAGAGGAGAUCGUAGAGACAGAGCGAGCCUGUGGCCUCCCCACCAGGAGUGUGGACAGAGGCUCCGCUGACAGAGAAGGAGCUGGGGUGCGGAAGGGAUGAGAGAGCCCCCAGCUCUGCCUCCCUGUGCCUGAGGUCCUGGGGAUGUGCAGCCUUCCUCCUGCUACACAGCCCUGAGUGGCUCCUGGGAGCACAGCUGCUUGCAUCCCCACCUGACGUGUUCCUAAGUUGCUCUGCCUUGACAACUUGUUAUCUUCAGUCCUGCCCUGUUCUCUCUGCCCUCCCAUCCAGGGAGGAGAUCCUCAAAUGAGGGGAUCUCACCGGGGAGGUGACCCAAAUGUCACCAGGACACGGUUACUCCUCUCUUGAGAUGAACUUGAAUGCACUCUUCUGAGGAGCUCCCGAAAUGUCCCACAGGUCCUACCUCUGAUCUUGAAUCACUAAUCAAGUAGAGUCUGAGAGUCGGGCAGAAGGUGCAAAGUUGCAUAACAAGCACUUCAUUUCUCUGGGUCAGCAGUGAGAUAUGACACUCCUGGGACAAGCCAUUCCCACUGUGGUGGCAGGGUCUUCAGCAACAUGGAGUAGAUACCUGUCCUCCUCCUGUUCCUGUCUCUUUGGUCAGGUAGAGACAAAAUCUGACUUCUGGGGGAGCUUCCAAGAUGUUAACAGCCCCCACAACUGAGAACUUUCUGGCAAAAAUGCUCUAUCACUCAUGCAUGUCCGUGUUUGUAGGUACCCUGUCCCAGCCUCUGCUACCCAGCCACCCCCUUCUCUGUGUCUCCAGGUACUAAAGCCAGACUCACCUGCACCCUGAGAAACAUGAAAAGAGAGGUAGGACGCAGAAAGAGGGAGAAGCAGUGUCCCUGCAGGGUGCACCAUGUGGGACUGGAUCCAAGGGCCCAAGGAUCAUGCCCUGAGACAAAGACAGAUGCUCAUCCACCGAGCCACUCAGGAAUCCCAACAAAAACUUCAAAAACAAAAAUCUUGGAUUUCCUCCUCUUGUCUCUCCUUUACUACACACACUACAUGUUUCACAUAUCAUACUAUUGUCUU